GCCGGUAAACACCAUGAGAUCUUUGGUAAUUAUACUACUGGUAGUAGUUUCCACAGCGGAUCUCAAGAGGCUUGUGGAUAAGACGCAGUGUCCCAAAGCCUGUGGCUUGGACUAUAAGCCGGUGUGUGCCUCCAGAAUCGGGGGAAAUUCUCCCAGGACUUGCACUUUUCCCAACCCUUGCACUCUUAAAUUGUAUCUUUGCAACAGCAGAUUAGAUUGGCAAAUGGAGAGCAAUCAGCCCUGUCAAUGGCCCGUUGGAAGCUGCGAGGAAAUCGCAGAUUUCUUACGCAACAGAAAGGAUCUAUUUGUGAAAAAACCAAAGAAAGUUAUUACUGAGAACAAAAAAAGAAUAAAAACUGAAUAAAUGAUUAAACAUUAGGAAACCCUGAUUAGGCCGCAAUGAAGACGUCGGCUGUCAAAUGUAACCACUAACCUAGCCACUCGUGUUCAGCAAAACAGAUGCAAUCGCCUCGCACAGUGGGCCCCCGCCAAGAAAUAUAUAUAUUUAUCUGGGUAGUAUGGGAAUAUCUUCCCCUAGGCACUGCAACUUGGAGACGUCAACGUCAAAAGGCGGUUGCCGUAUGAUUGCCGCUGCUGUUUGUGCUGCUAGUGAUUGGCUCAAAGCUCGUGUGCUGUGUUGUCGUAGGUGUAGAGCCGUGUUGCCACCGCUCAAACAAGCUGGAACAGCGCAAACCAAGAUUUAUGGGUGUCAGUCGGGCAGUUAGGCACUGCGAAAAAAUCCAGGGAAAAAGGGGAAAGCAAUAUAUACCAAAGGUAACUCAGAGAUACUUCUGUACUCGACUACUUUAGUGCAUUUUCAAAUAAACUUUAGCGAAGAAGGGUUACUUAUUUAAGAUCA